GGGCAGGAGGAUGGCUUGAGGCCAGGAGUUUGAGACCAGCCUGGGCAACACAGCUGGAGUGCAAUGGCACGAUCUCAGCUCACUGCAACCUCCGCCUCCUGGGUUCAAGUGAUUCUCCUGCCUCAGCCUCCUGAGUAGCUGAGAUUACAGAUCUGCACCACCACGCCCGGAAAAUCUAGACUCCUGAGCUACAAGGCCUCGUAACUCAGCCUGCCUGUCUCUGCCUUCAUCCUCUAGCACUUUCUCACUGAGUUCCAGCCACACCAGCCUCCUCUUGAUCCUCACCAUGGCGAGCUUCGUUCCUUCUGAGGAGUUUUGCCCUUGCAAAGAGGAGGUCUGUACUUUGACCUCUCAGGAUAGCCCUAUAUGGCUCUUCUCAGAAGUCACUUCCUCAGAGAGGA